UACGUAGGGCGCAAGCGUUAUCCGGAAUUAUUGGGCGUAAAGAGCUCGUAGGCGGUUUGUCGCGUCUGCCGUGAAAGCCCUGGGCUCAACCUGGGAAUUGCAUUGGAUACUGGCGAGCUCGAGUAUUGGAGGGGGUCGCGGAAUUCCCGGUGUAGAGGUGAAAUUCGUAGAUAUCGGGAGGAACACCAGUGGCGAAGGCGGCGACCUGGCCAAUUACUGACACUGAGACGCGAAAGCGUGGGGAGCAAACAGG
rnacentral:rRNA from 1 species